AAAUAAUUUAACGGCCGCAGUAAUUUGACUGUGCUAAGGUAGCAUAAUAGUUUGUCUCUUAAUUAGAGUCUAGAAUGAAAGAUCAAAUAAACUCUAGCUUUCCUCCUUUUACAAAUUUAAUUUUAUUAUUGAGUUAAAAAGCUCAAAUAUAUAAAAAAGACGAUAAGACCCUAUGAAAUUUCAUUUAUAUAAAGUUAUAUUUAUGAUUUAUACAAAAUAAAUGUAAAUUGAAAAUAAUUUAGUUGGGGCGACUUUAAUUUAAAUAUAAGCAAUUAAAAUAUUUAAUAAACAAAUUUAAAUUCUUAAGAACCUUAUUAGUUUAUUUGACCAAAUUACUCUAGGGAUAACAGCGUAAUUUUUUUGGAGAGCUCAUAUCGAUAAAAAA
rnacentral:rRNA from 1 species